rnacentral:rRNA from 1 species
GCGGUGUGGGAUGGGCCCGCGGCCUAUCAGCUUGUUGGUGAGGUUAUGGCUUACCAAGGCGACGACGGGUAGCCGGCCUGAGAGGGUGACCGGCCACACUGGGACUGAGAUACGGCCCAG